AGUUCCCUCCUCGCUACUAGGUGAUUUAACCAGACAGAGGCUCGCUAUUACCGAAUCGCCCCCACAGCUGUAUCUUAAAUCCCGGCCGAGUUUCUCGCCGUCGAAGCGCGGGGCGACGCACCCUCGCUUAUGUAACUCAGCGCCCGGGUUUAUGCAACAGCACUAAUGCGAAAUUUAUAAAGUAGCAGCAGAUUGAAAUCAUCUGCAACGUCCCAAACGAGCGAGCAGCUUUUUUUAAAUAAGUGUCUCUCCGCGAACAAAACUACAAAACUGAACUUGGAAGAGAAGUGGCGACAAGCACUCGAGCCGGAGUGAAAUAAGCAGCGGGCUCAAUCACGGAAAGCAAACCUAACACCAGGGAGGGGAGUCGUACAAAGAUGUGUGAGAGUUGCUCGUGCAAAUCGCACAGACUGAUUUGCCAGGCGCUGAUGUGUUGAUCACUUCAGGAUGAGAAAAUGCAUGGGUUCUUUUGAAGACCCUGACCUGGAGUUACACUCUGACUUCGGUUCUUUGCCGGAAUGGGACCCGCUCUCAGGGCCUCACGACCGGCUGCUUUUUGAUAUCCCAAGGACAAGGCUUGGAAGACAAGCACCUUCAGGGUGCCAGAUUUUCGUGGCUGUGGAGGUGGGGUGAUUCAAGGCUGGUGCCCUUGACUGAAGUGUCGCGGGAGAACACGGAACAUCGGGAGCAGCGGGUUAGCUGCCGGUUGUGUGUCCAGAGACCUGCCUUUCUGGGGCCAAUUCUUUGGGUGCAGGGCUCAGAAAAGCAACGCAACAGACUUUUAACAUCAUAAAUCAGUGAGCUGUUUGUUAUGUCUCCCCUCUCACUGUGAAACGGGGACACCUCUUUUUCCCUUAUUAGGGAGAGAGAGAGCCUGUGGUAUGUUGAAUACCGGGUGAACAGGUAGUCUUUGGGUUACUGCAAGUCUGUGUCUUUAUGAUACUUUGCUGCA